rnacentral:rRNA from 1 species
CAAGGUUAAAACUCAAAUGAAUUGACGGGGGCCCGCACAAGCGGUGGAGCAUGUGGUUUAAUUCGAUGCAACGCGAAGAACCUUACCUGGUCUUGACAUCCACGGAAGAAUUCAGAGAUGGAUUUGUGCCUUCGGGAACCGUGAGACAGGUGCUGCAUGGCUGUCGUCAGCUCGUGUUGUGAAAUGUUGGGUUAAGUCCCGCAACGAGCGCAACCCUUAUCCUUUGUUGCCAGCGGUCCGGCCGGGAACUCAAAGGAGACUGCCAGUGAUAAACUGGAGGAAGGUGGGGAUGACGUCAAGUCAUCAUGGCCCUUACGACCAGGGCUACACACGUGCUACAAUGGCGCAUACAAAGAGAAGCGACCUCGCGAGAGCAAGCGGACCUCAUAAAGUGCGUCGUAGUCCGGAUUGGAGUCUGCAACUCGACUCCAUGAAGUCGGAAUCGCUAGUAAUCGUGGAUCAGAAUGCCACGGUGAAUACGUUCCCGGGCCUUGUACACACCGCCCGUCACACCAUGGGAGUGGGUUGCAAAAGAAGUAGGUAGCUUAACCUUCGGGAGGGCGCUUACCACUUUGUGAUUCAUGACUGGGGUGAAGUCGUAACAAGGUAACCGUAGGGGAACCUGCGGUUGGAUCACCUCCUUACCUUAAAGAAGC